UACAGAGGGGGCAAGCGUUAUUCGGAAUUAUUGGGCGUAAAGAGCGUGUAGGCGGCCAUGCAGGUCCGUUGUGAAAACUCGAGGCUCAACCUCGAGACGCCGAUGGAAACCGCAUGGCUAGAGUCCGGAAGAGGAGAGUGGAAUUCCUGGUGUAGCGGUGAAAUGCGCAGAUAUCAGGAGGAACACCGAUGGCGAAGGCAGGUCUCUGGGCAUUAACUGACGCUGAGGAGCGAAAGCAUGGGGAGCGAACAGG
rnacentral:rRNA from 1 species